UUCUGAUAGUCUUUGAAAUACCUCUCUUAAUUUUUUAUUAUGAUUUUCUAAAGUAUCUGCAUGAAUUACUAUGUCAUCUAAAUAAACAAAACAACGGUUAUUUUGAAUUCCAGAUAAAACAUUAUUCAUUAAUCGUUGAAAUGUCGCUGGUGCAUUUUUUAAUCCAAAUGGCAUACGAUUAAAUUGAUAGUGACCUGUGUGAGUAGAAAAAGCAGUUUUAGGAGCAUCUUCUGUAGACAUUUUUAUCUGAUGAAAACCUGAUAGAUAUUAGGAAGCGGAUAUGAGUCACCGACAGUUAUAUCAUUGAGCUUACGAUAAUCGACAACUAUUCGCCAUUUUUUCAUUCCGGAAGAGUCUGAUUUUUUAGGUACAACCCAUAUAGGAGAAUUCCAUGGUGAAUUAGAUGGUUCGAUAAUAUUUUCAUCGAGCAUUUGAUUAAUUUGCUUAUUGACUUCUUCUUUAUGAACUUCUGGAAAUCGGUAUGUUUUAGCGUUAAUUGGUACUUUCGAUGAUGUAGGAAUAUUAUGCGCGAUUGUAUCUGUAAAUGUUAGUUUGUCACCAUCGAUAUAAAAGAUAUGAUUAAAUUCAUGACAAAUUUGUAGUAAAGAUUGUUUUUCUUCUGAAUUUAGAUGAUCAGUUCGUAAUAAAUUUGAAAUUUUUUCUAAACGUUCUGAUUUGAAAUUAUUAUCAGAGGUACUCGUACGUAAUGAGGAAAUAUUCGCACUAUUUUCACUAUAAUCGAUUGGAUCUAAUGUGACUUCGAUAUUUUUAAUAUUAACGAUUUUUUCGGUAGUGUUUAAAAUUGAGGUUAUUAUGUUGCUAUCUUUGACAACCUUUACAAAACUUGGACAGAGAUAAACGCCUUCAAGUAUAUCAAUAUUUGGACAAAUGCCUUCUUUUAUUUCUCCGUUUAUGGCUUUAAUUUUUACAAUUGUUUCUGUUCUAGGAGCUAGUUAAAAUUUUACAUUUGAAUCAGUUUGAUUGUUUUUUAUUUUAUUUGAAGAAAAUUUUUCAUUGUAAGCAGGAAUGUUCUGACUUAAUGGAGGAUUAGAAUUAGAUUGUGAAAAUUUUGAUUUGUAAUCGCGUUGAAUUUGCGCACGUAUGGGAUAUUCUAAAUGGAAUAUAUCUAGAUGUUUAUCAUUUAUAAAUAGUUUAUCAUUUUGAUAAUCAAUUAGGCAGUUGAACGAUUUUAAAAAGUCGUUACCUAAAAGACCGUCGAAAGGAAUCGGGAAAUUAUCGGGAACUGCAUGAAAAAUAUGUGUAAAUUUCUGAUUGCCGAUAUAGAAAUCUAAAUAAGUAUAGCACAAUGUUUUCGUAUGCUGAGUCACGUUUAUAUCAAUACCCUUCAGAGUGAUAAGAUUGUCUUCAUAACAAUGAGUUUGACCUUUAAGAUGAGAAAUUUUUACAAGCGAAAUGUCAGCACCGGUAUCUAAAAGGAAUUUACCUGGAUGAUUUUUUAAUUGAGCAAUAUUUAAUGGAAUAUAACUUGUUACAGCAGCAAUGUUUAAUGUUGCAAUUCGGCGGAAAUUUGGUGGGCAGUCCUCGAGUUCUCCGCCAACGUCGAAGAGCCCGGGCAGUUUAAAUUACUGCCGUUUGAAUUUUGUAGGGACUGUGAUGAAGAUCUAAUGCGGGAAUUAUUAUUUUGUUCCUUUCGCGACUGGUUAUAUUGUAAUUUACGACACUCGUUAAUUAAAUGACCAUUGUUCUUGCAGUAA